GGGUCCUCACCCUUCUUCUCAUCUCAUAUUUGGACUCAGCCAUCUGAAACUAAAGCAACUGGUCUGCUUUGACUUAUCCAUAUCCUGAAGAACCAGUCUUUGUGGGGAAAAAAAAUUUACUAACUAAAAAGAAUGGACUUCUAGAACUUGAAUGGCUGCUUGUCAUUUCUGGUGCAUACAGAAGUAUUGUCUUCCAGAAUGGUUACCUUGCCUUUUGUUUCCACUAGCAAUUUAACAUCUGGGUGAUGAGAAGCUCGGUGGAGGUUCAGUAGACACAGGGAAAUAUAGAUUUCCAUGACCAG